rnacentral:rRNA from 1 species
GAUGAACGCUAGCGACAGGCCUAACACAUGCAAGUCGAGGGGCAGCACAAUGCGUAGCAAUACAAAUGGUGGCGACCGGCGCACGGGUGAGUAACACGUAUGCAACCUACCUGUAAGAGGGGAAUAACCCGGAGAAAUUCGGACUAAUACCGCAUAAAACUGCGAGACUGCAUGGUCUUGCAUUUAAACAUUUAUGGCUUACAGAUGGGCAUGCGUAUGAUUAGUUAGUUGGUGAGGUAACGGCCCACCAAGUCAACGAUCAUUAGGGGUUCUGAGAGGAACGUCCCCCACACUGGUACUGAGACACGGACCAGACUCCUACGGGAGGCAGCAGUGAGGAAUAUUGGUCAAUGGGCGAGAGCCUGAACCAGCCAAGUCGCGUGAAGGAAGAAGGUUCUAUGGAUUGUAAACUUCUUUUGUAAGGGAAUAAAAAGUGGUACGUGUACCAUAUUGUAUGUACUUUACGAAUAAGGAUCGGCUAACUCCGUGCCAGCCGCCGCCGUAAAAC